rnacentral:rRNA from 1 species
CACGUAGGGUGCGAGCGUUGUCCGGAAUUAUUGGGCGUAAAGAGCUCGUAGGCGGCUUGUCACGUCGGGUGUGAAAGCCCGGGGCUUAACCCCGGGUCUGCAUUCGAUACGGGCUAGCUAGAGUGUGGUAGGGGAGAUCGGAAUUCCUGGUGUAGCGGUGAAAUGCGCAGAUAUCAGGAGGAACACCGGUGGCGAAGGCGGCAUCCUGGACCAAUAUUGACGCUGAGGAGCGAAAGCUAGGGGAGCAAACGGG